AUCGAUGAAGAACGCAGCGAAAUGCGAUAAGUAGUGUGAAUUGCAGAAUUCAGUGAAUCAUCGAAUCUUUGAACGCACAUUGCGCCCCUCGGUAUUCCGUGGGGCAUGCCUGUUCGAGCGUCAUCUACACCCUCAAGCUCUGCUUGGUGUUGGGCGUCUGUCCCGCCUCUGCGCGCGGACUCGCCCCAAAUUCAUUGGCAGCGGUCUUUGCCUCCUCUCGCGCAGCACAAUUGCGUCUGCGAGGGGGCGUGGCCCGCAUCCACGAAGCAACAUUACCGUCUUUGACCUCGGAUCAGGUAGGGAUACCCGCUGAACUUAAGCAUAUCAAUAAGCGGAGGAAAAGAAACCAACAGGGAUUGCCCUAGUAACGGCGAGUGAAGCGGCAACAGCUCAAAUUUGAAAUCUGGCUCUCUUUGGGGGUCCGAGUUGUAAUUUGCAGAGGAUGCUUUGGCAUUGGCAGCGGUCUAAGUUCCUUGGAACAGGACAUCACAGAGGGUGAGAAUCCCGUACGUGGUCGCUUGCCUUUGCCGUGUAAAGCUCCUUCGACGAGUCGAGUUGUUUGGGAAUGCAGCUCUAAAUGGGAGGUAAAUUUCUUCUAAAGCUAAAUACUGGCCAGAGACCGAUAGCGCACAAGUAGAGUGAUCGAAAGAUGAAAAGUACUUUGGAAAGAGAGUCAAAAAGCACGUGAAAUUGUUGAAAGGGAAGCGCUUGCAGCCAGACUUGCCCGCAGUUGCUCACCUAGGCUUUCGCCUGGGGCACUCUUCUGCGGGCAGGCCAGCAUCAGUUUGGGCGGUUGGAUAAAGGCCUCUGUCACGUAUCUUCCUUCGGGAUGACCUUAUAGGGGAGGCGUAAUGCAACCAGCCCGGACUGAGGUCCGCGCAUCUGCUAGGAUGCUGGCGUAAUGGCUGUAAGCGGCCCGUCUUGAAACACG
rnacentral:rRNA from 1 species